rnacentral:rRNA from 1 species
AGUGAACGCUGGCGGUAGGCCUAACACAUGCAAGUCGAACGGCAGCACAGUAAGAGCUUGCUCUUACGGGUGGCGAGUGGCGGACGGGUGAGGAAUACAUCGGAAUCUACUUUUUCGUGGGGGAUAACGUAGGGAAACUUACGCUAAUACCGCAUACGACCUACGGGUGAAAGCAGGGGAUCUUCGGACCUUGCGCGAUUGAAUGAGCCGAUGUCGGAUUAGCUAGUUGGCGGGGUAAAGGCCCACCAAGGCGACGAUCCGUAGCUGGUCUGAGAGGGUGAUCAGCCACACUGGAACUGAGACACGGUCCAGACUCCUACGGGAGGCAGCAGUGGGGAAUAUUGGACAAUGGGCGCAAGCCUGAUCCAGCCAUACCGCGUGGGUGAAGAAGGCCUUCGGGUUGUAAAGCACUUUUGUUGGGAAAGAAAAGCAGCAGGUUAAUACCCCGCUGUUCUGACGGUACCCAAAGAAUAAGCACCGGCUAACUUCGUG